rnacentral:rRNA from 1 species
GACAGAGGGUGCAAACGUUGUUCGGAUUUACUGGGCGUAAAGCGCGUGUAGGCGGCUUGGCAAGUCGGAUGUGAAAGCCCACGGCUCAACCGUGGAAGCGCAUCCGAAACUGCUUCACUCGAGUCUCGGAGAGGAAGGUGGAAUGCUUGGUGUAGAGGUGAAAUUCGUAGAUAUCAAGCAGAACACCUGCGGCGAAGGCGGCCUUCUGGACGAUGACUGACGCUGAGACGCGAAAGCGUGGGGAGCAAACAGG